GUCGGGUGGACCGGCCGAGGCGGUCGCCGCGGUGGCGGCGGGGAUGGGGGCCGGGGGUUCCGAGCCCGUGCCCGACCC
rnacentral:tRNA from 1 species